GAUUGCACAAAUUACAAAGGUGGUCACAAAUGACAUCUUCCAAUAAUUCUGCCUUAGUGAAGUCGAUAGAAUGGUGGCAUCCACGGAGAAAGAAAUACAUGAGGGGGUGAUGAAGAACCAUGCUCCUCAGGAAAAGGAAAUACAGUCCUUGAUCUCUUGUAAAUACUUCCAAGCCCAUAUGAAUCCAGUGUGGAGUGAGGGAAUAAACGACACACUUCCUACUGAUGGUUUAUCAAGAGAGAGGAGAGUAGUUUUAAAUAGUUUCGGGAUGAGAUUGCCUCAUUUUUUUGGAAUCACUUUUCAUCCAAAUCUUCUAGCUGGAACACCUGUAGAGACAAGAUGAUUUUGAUGGAGACUGAUAUUGAUACAGAAAGGACCUGGCAUGCACUGUUUUUUGGACAUCUUCCUUUUGGGCAAGUAGGUCACGUGGGAAAAACUCAAGUUUCUCUGCCAAGAAAUGAUACCCUGGAUCAGGAAACUAUAUGUCUCAACCUGAGAAAUGAGAAAAAUUCAAACUGGAAAAGUUCAAUCAGAUCAUCUGCAUCUGGUCUUUCCUCUGAAUUAACCAUCUGACUGGGUCUCACAAGCUGAUUUCAUGCCCUGUGCUU
rnacentral:lncRNA from 1 species